ensembl:lncRNA
GUCCAUUAAAAAAAACUUUACCUCCCUAAGUCUGAUGCAUGCUGGGAAAUGUGAUUCAGAAGUACGAAUACCUAUCAAAACGGUGGACAAAGUCUCUGUCCUAAAUCUGAUUAUUUCCAGAGAUGUGACGAGCAAUUAGUCAACAAGUGUUUACUGAUCGCUUGUAAUCUUCUGGAUAUCCAGUAGAACUUCUUUGCCAUGUGCUAAAUUCUUUAGAUUCUGCACUGGACCCACAGGACCCCCUCACUUGGGAAUGGACUUGGGAAUGCUGUGCUGUGUGGAAUGUGGAUCUUAUUCCCUGAUCAGGGAUCAAAUAUGUACUCCUAAGUCUGGAAGCAAGUAGAGUCUUCACUACUGGAUCAUCAGAGAAGUCCCCUAGUCAUGUGACUGUACUAUCUAUCCGUCCAUACCUUACUACUCUGUCACUAAAGGUGCCCUAUGUAUUGGAGUUUCUUUCAUCCAAUAUAUUUUGUCCAGCUUUCAACAACAACAACAAAAUUACAAGCUAUAAUAAAAGGCAAAAAAAAAAAGAGAGACACAGUCAUUUGAAGAGACAGCAAGCAUGCGAUUCAGACUCAUGUGCCAGGGAUCUUAGAAUUAUCGGACCAUGCAUUUAAAAUGACUGUGAUUAAUAUGCUAAGGGCACUACGGAAAAAGUAGGUAAUAUGCAAGAACAGAUGGAUAAUGUAACCAAAAUAUAGACAUUCUAAGAAAGACACACAUAGAAAUGCUAGAGAUCAGAAACAUUGCAACAGAAAUGAAGAAUGUCUCUCAUAGGUUCAUUAGUAGACUGGACAUCACUAAGGAAAGACUGUCUGAGCCUGAGAAUAUGUCAAUAGAAAUGUCCAACAGUGAAAAGCAAAGGAAAAAAAAGACUGAAAAAUGGACAAAAUAUCCAAAAUCAUGGGACAAUUAGAAAAGAUAUAACAUGCUAUAUGGGAAUACCAGAAGGAAAAGAAAGAGAGAAACACACAGAAGAAAUAUUUGAGAAAAUCAUGACUGAGAAUUUCUUCCAAAUAAAUAUUAGACAAAACACAAAUCCAGGAAACUUGGAGAAUAUAAAGCAGGAUAAAUGCCAAAAAACUAGGUAUGUCAUAUUCAAAUUUCAGAAAAUCAAAGGUAAGUUUUAGAAAUUGUUGAAAGAAGCCAGAAGAAAACAACAACUUACCUACAGAGAAGCAAAAAUAAAAAUUACAUCCAACUCUUCUCAGAAGAAGAGAGUGAAAUGAAAUAGUAUGGAGAGAAAAAUACCACCAACUUGGAAUUCUGUAUCCCAUAAAAUUAUCCUUCAAAAGUGAAGGAGAAAGAAACAUUUUCUUAGACAAAAAGAAACAGAGAAUUUGUUGUCAGUUGACCUGCCUUGCAAGAAAUUUUAUUUUAUUUUAUUUUUUUUUGCAAGAAAUUUUAAAAUAAGUUCUUUAAAGAGAAGGAAACUGGUUUAAGUCAGAAAUUCAAAUCUAAAUAAAGAUCUUUACAGAAGGAAUAAGUGAAAAUAAAUAAAAACUUUUAUUUUUCUUAUUCUUGAUUGAUCUAACAUAAAAAUUUGUUCAAAAUAAUAAUAGCAAUAUAUUCAAAUAUAUACAUGCGUGCUUACUAUAAGUGAAAUGAAUAACAGGAAUGAUACAACUGAAGAGAUAAAUUGUUUAAUCACUAAGCCAUGUCUGACUCUUUUGUGACCCUAUGGACUGUAGCCCGCCAGGCUCCUCUGUCCAUGGAAUUUCCAAGCAAAAGUACUAAAUUGGGUUGCCAUUUCCUUCUCCAGGGGAUCUUCCUGAUCCAGGGAUCUAACCCAUGUCUCCUGCACUGCAAGCAGAUUGUUUUACCACUGAGCCACCUGGUAAGCCCCAAAGAAUAUUUUAUUAUAAGGUACUUGCAUUAUCCACAAAAUGGUAUAGUGUUAUUUAAAAGUGGAGUUGGAUUAAUUGUAAAUGUAUAUUGCAAACCCUAAGGCAACCACUAAAAAAAAAAAGUUAAAACUAAAAAAAAGUUAAAAACAAAAUAAAACUGACAUGCUAAGAAAGAAGAGAAAAUGGAAUUAUUUAAAAUACUCAAUUAAAACCCCAAAUGGAAGGAAAAGAGUGAAGACAAAAAUAGCAACAAAGGAGAAGGCAACAAAUGAAAACAGUAACAAACAUGAAUCCAAUAUAGUAUUGGUCCAGCUGUAUAUAUCAAUACUUCACUUUUUAUUUAUUUAUAUUUUUGGCUGUGCUGCACAGUUUGCAGGAUUCUAGUUCCCUGACCAGGGGUUGAACCCAUGCCUGAAGCAAUGGAAAUGCAGGGUCCAAACCACUCUGCCAGGGGAUGUCUAAGAAAUACAACCUAACUCUAUAUUGUCUACAAGAAACCCACUUUAAAUAUAAAAACACAUAAAGAUUGAAAGUAAAGGGAUGGUUGCUAUGACAUUAGAGCUUUAAUGUUUUCACUGUAAUAACAAAAUGGUAAUUAUGUGAAGCAAAGGACAUGUUCACUAACUUUAUUGUGGUAAAUAUUUUGUAGCAGUAUAUGUGCAUCAAUCUGUAAACCUAAAAUUUACAGAAUGUUAUAAAGAAAGCUGAGCACCGAAGAAUUGAUACUUUUGAACUGUGGUGCUGGAGAAGACUCUUGAGAGUCCCUUGGACUGCAAGGAAAUCAAACCAGUCAAUCCUAAAAGAAAUCAAUCCUGAAUAUUUAUUGGAAGGACUGAUGCAAAAGCUGAAGCUUCAGUACUUUGGCCACCUGAUGCAAAGAACUGACUCACUGGAAAAGACCCUGAUGCUGGCAAAGAUUGAAGGCAGGAGGAGAAGGGAAUGACAGAGGAUGAGAUGGUUGGAUGGCAUCACCGACUCGAUGGACAUGAGUUUGAGCAAGCUCCAGGAGUUGGUGAUGGACAGAGAAGCCUGGCGUGCUGCAGUCCAUGGGGUCGCAAAGAGUCAGACACGAGUGAGCCACUGAACUGACUGAAAAUGACUUAUGUCUCAUAAAAUUGGAGGAAGAAGUAGCAAGGGGCUAGGGAUGGAGAAAGAUGUACUAUGCUAACACUAAUCAAAAGAAAGCAGGAGAAGCUAUAUUAAUUUCAGACAGAGCCGUCUUCAGAACAAGAAAAGUUAUCAGAGAUAAGGGAGAGCACCACCUGGUGAUAAAAGUUCAAUUCUCCAGGAAGACACAACCAUCUGUAAUGUGUAUGCACCUAACAACAGAGCAUCAAAAUACGUGAGUCAAAG